AACAAACGCUGGCGGCGUGUCUUAAGCAUGCAAGUUGAGCGGCAAGGAGGAGAGAUCCUCCCUAGAGCGGCGGACUGGUGAGUAACGCGUGGGUAAUCUAUCGUAGGCAUGGGGAUAGUCACUAGAAAUAGUGGGUAAUACCGAAUACGUUCCAUGAGGGGAGUAUUCAUGGAAGAAAGGGUGCUACGGCACUGGCCUUAGGUGAGCUCGCGUCCCAUUAGCUAGUUGGUGAGGUAAAGGCCCACCAAGGCGAUGAUGGGUAGCCGGCCUGAGAGGGUGUACGGCCACACUGGGACUGAGACACGGCCCAGACUCCUACGGGGGGCAGCAGUGGGGGAUCUUGCACAAUGGGCGAAAGCCUGAUGCAGCGACGCCGCGUGAGCGAAGAAGGCCUUCGGUUGUAAAGCUCUGUCUGGAGGGACGGAACCGAAAAUAGACGGUAACCCGUCCGGACGGAAGGCCGACCGGACGUAACCUAACGUACGCCCGAGCAGCCGCGGUAAACCUAGUAGUCGU
rnacentral:rRNA from 1 species